CCCGGAUGUUCGUCAGUAAGUAGCCUUCAAACAUUCGCGAGACUUUACAGCCCUUUUUAACGUUUUUGCGACUCUGCUACGUCAUCAAUCUUCCCGGAAGAGGACGGAAUGCAUUCUAAUUGAACGUAACCCGAGUCUUCGUCGCCUCCCUGCAAGAUGCCGGAGCGCCGCUUCGGAGGAGUUCUCUCCCAGCUGUGGUACUAAUUGCGGCACAGAGACGAGCGCGGGCCAGAUGGAGGGGAAGAUAGUGCAAAUUGAUUCCCCACGUUUGUCUUCAUUAAGCUCCCGGCCCAGGGGCCUAAGUUAGGGCUCCGUCCACAGAACGGUCCCUGUCCUCAGGUCUGGUGAUUGUGGACCCCUGCGUUGAAUCGCACAAGCAGGAGGACCUAAUGAAAUGACCAGCGAAUUUAUAUAGUUCUCAGC